rnacentral:rRNA from 1 species
UGGGGAAUUUUUGGCAAUGGGGGCAACCCUGACCAAGCAACGCCGCGUGGAUGAUGAAGUCUCUUGGGACGUAAAAUCCUUUCGACGGGGAAGAAAACCGCAAGGUUUGACGGUACCCGUAGAAGAAGCCCCGGCUAACUCCGUGCCAGCAGCCGCGGUAAUACGGGGGGGGCAAGCGUUGUUCGGAAUUACUGGGCGUAAAGGGCGCGUAGGCGGUUUGCUAAGUUGGAUGUGAAAACUCUGGGCUUAACCCAGAGCCUGCAUCCAAAACUGGCAGGCUGGAGUUUUGGAGGGGGAAGCGGAAUUCCUGGUGUAGCAGUGAAAUGCGUAGAUAUCAGGAGGAACACCGGUGGCGAAGGCGGCUUCCUGGACAAAAACUGACGCUGAGGCGCGAAAGCUAGGGGAGCAAACAGG